ensembl:lncRNA
AUGAUCGAGUGUUCAAUGUCAGUUGUUCUUUUGGGGUUUACUGUUAAAUUUAUCUGUUUGGGGCUAAAAGUUGCUUUAAUUAUACUUCAGUUCCCGCACAGCUAUGUCCACACAAGUAUGUUCAAUCCUGAAGAAGCAUUGAUGGAUGAGUUUGAUACAUAUGCAGUACCAUAUAGUGGACUAUUCUGUCUCUCAACAUUCACCUUCACACAGGAUGUAGCUGAAGCUGAAGGUAAUGAUGAGCACCUGGAGGUUUUGGGACAGCAGCGUGUGACCGCCAGCCCCACCGCCACGGGAGAGCACGGACCCACACUGAACUAGCAGCACCUCACAGACAAGACGCCGAGCACCGAACACCCAAACCACCUCACCGCACCAACGGUUCUUUUAAUAAAACCCACCCUUCGGGGAACUUACCCUCAUCCUCGUGUCGUGUCCUACUUCACCCCGCCACAGAGGCAAAACAGAAAAUGUCCCUUUUUACAUAGCAUCUGACAGCUCUUUUCAAAAGUCAAUUUAGAAUCUAUGACUGUCCCGAGAUAUUUGCAGCUUUCUACACAAUCCACCACCUGGUCUUUAAUGAUCAUAGUGUCAUAACGUAAAGCACAAGUUCUAAAAUCUAUAAUCAUGUCAUUUGUUUGAGUUAUAUUUAACUACAAAUAAGAUUAAUCACACCAGGUGACAAACUCCUCAAUAAUAGGACCGUGUCCAUACUCAUUAUUGUGUAGCAAACUCACAAUAACUGUGUCAUCAGCAAAUUUCAAUAUAGUCAUAUUUGCAUGCUUACUUUGGCACAUAUUAGUAUACAAAAUAUAAAAUAAAGGUGAAAGAACACAACCCUGGGGUGAACCAGUGGACGGACAUAAUGGAUCUGAUAAAAUACCAUUUACUUUCACCCUCUGUGUUCUAUUUGUCAAGAAAUCCAGUAUCCAACCCACCAAACUGUUGCUCAGCUUAAAAUGCUCUAUCAAUCUCAUAGCUAAAAUGUGGGGUUGGAUAGUAUUAAAAGCUGAGAAAAAAAAACAGUUUAGCAUGAGUAUUUCUCCCUUCUAGAUGCUUAAACAAAUGUUUAAGUAAUGUAAUUGUAGCGUCCUCAACUCCUCUAUGUGCCCUAUAGGCAAACUGCAUAGGGUCAAGAGCUUGCUCAGUUUGCCUUACAAUCUCUGUCUUCACAAGCUUUUCAAAUGAUUUCAUUACAAGAGAAGUGAGGGCAAUUGGCCUGAGGUCAUUUAAAGCCUUGGGACUAUUAUUUUUUGGAGCCGGAAUAAUAACAGCCCGCUUCCACAAGUUAGGUAUAUUGUUGGGAUAAAGACAUAUUAAAAAUAUCAUAAAAGAUACAACUUAAUUGUUUUGCACAAUAUUUCAGUAAUUUGCCACAUAUAUUGUCUG